AGUGAACGCUGGCGGUAGGCCUAACACAUGCAAGUCGAACGGCAGCACAGUAAGAUUGUGCUCUUACGGGUGGCGGGUGGCGGACGGGUGAGGAAUACAUCGGAAUCUACUUUUUCGUGGGGGAUAACGUAGGGAAACUUACGCUAAUACCGCAUAUCACCUACGGGUGAAAGCAGGGGAUCUUCGCACCUUGCGCGGUUGAAUGAGCCGAUGUCGGAUUAGCUAGUUGGCGGGGUAAAGGCCCACCAAGGCGACGAUCCGUUGCUGGUCUGAGAGGAUGAUCAGCCACACUGGAACUGAGACACGGUCCAGACUCCUACGGGAGGCAGCAGUGGGGAAUAUUGGACAAUGGGCGCAAGCCUGAUCCAGCCAUACCGCGUGGGUGAAGAAGGCCUUCGGGUUGUAAAGCCCUUUUGUUGGGAAAGAAAGGCAGCAGGUUAAUACCCCGCUGUUCUGACGGUACCCAAAGAAUAAGCACCGGCUAACUUCGUG
rnacentral:rRNA from 1 species